rnacentral:rRNA from 1 species
UACGGGAGGCAGCAGUGAGGAAUAUUGGUCAAUGGGCGCGAGCCUGAACCAGCCAAGUAGCGUGCAGGAUGACGGCCCUAUGGGUUGUAAACUGCUUUUAUACAGGGAUAAAGUGAUCCACGUGUGGGUUUUUGUAGGUACUGUAUGAAUAAGGACCGGCUAAUUCCGUGCCAGCAGCCGCGGUAAU